rnacentral:rRNA from 1 species
AACGAACGCUGGCGGCAUGCCUAACACAUGCCAGUCGAACGAGACCUUCGGGUCUAGUGGCGCACGGGUGCGUAACGCGUGGGAACCUGCCCUUGGGUUCGGAAUAACUCCCCGAAAGGGGUGCUAAUACCGGAUAAUGUCUUCGGACCAAAGAUUUAUCGCCUUUGGAUGGGCCCGCGUUGGAUUAGCUAGUUGGUAGGGUAAAAGCCUACCAAGGCGACGAUCCAUAGCUGGUCUGAGAGGAUGAUCAGCCACACUGGGACUGAGACACGGCCCAGACUCCUACGGGAGGCAGCAGUGGGGAAUAUUGGACAAUGGGCGAAAGCCUGAUCCAGCAAUGCCGCGUGAGUGAUGAAGGCCUUAGGGUUGUAAAGCUCUUUUACCCGGGAUGAUAAUGACAGUACCGGGAGAAUAAGCUCCGGCUAACUCCGUG